AGACUUAGGGUGCUUGGUUUUUAAAGUGGACUUUUCCACAGAUGAAACUGAUCUGACGAGUGCAACAAGCAAAUUAAUAAACAAGGUAGAACAGAUUCUACAAUCAAAACUUGCUGCGGGGUCCUUUAAACUCACCUUGAUUAGCAAUGCAACCCGCAUUUAGUCAUCUCUAUUACAUCUUCAUAACCCGCAUUUAGUAAUCUCUAUUACAUCUUCAUAACCCGCACUUAAUAAUCUCUAUUACAUCUUUAUAACCUGCAUUUAGUAAUCUCUAUUACAUCUUCAUAGUCCGCACUUAGGGGCCAAAUUAUCAAACUCCGAGCAAUUUGAUUUGUUAGUGAUAGUUUUUAAUGUGUAUUUUAAUCAGAUUGGCUGAUGUCAUAAAUCAUGUGGUGGAAAAAUUCACUAGUGUGUGGUUUAUUUAGGAGUUUGCAUCAUAAUUGGUGCGAAAAGUGUUGCGUCAAAUAUGGCGCAAAGUGAAAAGUGGGACUUAUAUUACAUGGCUUAAACAUGGUGCACAUAGAUUUUUUAAAAACUAAAAAGGUUAGCUAUAUUAUGUUGUGUAUUUAUUUCAUUCUUAUCUCUAUAUCUAUUAGUGCGACAAGUUUGGGGCAAAACUUUCCACCAAAUAUGUAGAAAUUAUAUUGUCCCCUUGAUUUGUAAUGAGAGACAAAGUUGUAGCAUAAUCCAUCAGUAGUAAUGUAUUUUUAAUUUUUAUCCCUAUAUCUACUAGUGCACCAAAUGUGGAGCUAUAAUAUUGUUUGAUUUAGAAAGGGUAUACAAUUUUAAUAAAGUUUCUCAUUUACUUUUA